CAUCAAGAUUCUGCAGACACUUCUCAAAAUACAUUUUCACUAUUUGUUUUGAGCCAUGGACCAAAUUUCUUGGAAUCAUUUUUUUGUAAAUACUAGCUGACACAUUUUGUAACAACUGUUUUGCAGUGACCAUGUUAUUAAUAUCGCCUGACGUGUUCUUUUUGGGGCUCUUAUUUGGAAACUCCUUGUGAGAAGAACAUGUCAAAGUGUGGUGUGG